CGGACUGCAGGCUGCAACCCGCCUGCACGAAGCCGGAGUUGCUAGUAAUCGCGAAUCAGAAUGUCGCGGUGAAUGCGUUCCCGGGUCUUGUACACACCGCCCGUCACACCAUGGAAGUUGGGGGGUGCCCAAAGCCGGCAAGCAAAUAUGCUGUCUAAGGCAAAACCAAUGACUGGGAUGAAGUCGUAACAAGGUACC
rnacentral:rRNA from 1 species